UACGUAGGGGGCAAGCGUUGUCCGGAAUUAUUGGGCGUAAAGCGCGUGUAGGCGGUCCGCUAAGUCGGCUGUGAAAGUCCAGGGCUUAACCCUGGGACUGCCAUUCGAUACUUGCAGACUAGAGCAUGGUAGGGGGGAUCUGGAAUUCCUGGUGUAGCGGUGAAAUGCGCAGAUAUCAGGAGGAACACCGGUGGCGAAGGCGGGAUCCUGGGCCAUUGCUGACACUGAGGCGCGAAAGCUGGGGGAGCAAACAGG
rnacentral:rRNA from 1 species